rnacentral:rRNA from 1 species
UACAAAGGUGGCAAGCGUUGUUCGGAAUUACUGGGCGUAAAGGGUGCGUAGGCGGGUCUUUAAGUCAGGGGUGAAAUCCUGGAGCUCAACUCCAGAACUGCCUUUGAUACUGAGGAUCUUGAGUUCGGGAGAGGUGAGUGGAACUGCGAGUGUAGAGGUGAAAUUCGUAGAUAUUCGCAAGAACACCAGUGGCGAAGGCGGCUCACUGGCCCGAUACCGACGCUGAGGCACGAAAGCGUGGGGAGCAAACAGG